CUAGAGUGCAGUAGGGGAGACUGGAAUUCCCGGUGUAACGGUGGAAUGUGUAGAUAUCGUGAAGAACACCAAUGGCGAAGGCAGGUCUCUGGGCUGUUACUGACGCUGAGAAGCGAAAGCGUGGGGAGCGAACAGGAUUAGAUACCCAGGUAGUCCACGCCGUAAACGGUGGACGCUGGAUGUGGGGCCCAUUCCACGGG
rnacentral:rRNA from 1 species